rnacentral:rRNA from 1 species
UGGGGAAUAUUGGACAAUGGGCGCAAGCCUGAUCCAGUCAUGCCGCGUGAGUGAUGAAGGCCUUAGGGUUGUAAAGCUCUUUCAGCAGGGAAGAUAAUGACGGUACCUGCAGAAGAAGCCCCGGCUAACUUCGUGCCAGCAGCCGCGGUAAUACGAAGGGGGCUAGCGUUGUUCGGAAUUACUGGGCGUAAAGCGCACGUAGGCGGAUAUUUAAGUCAGGGGUGAAAUCCCGGGGUUCAACCUCGGAACUGCCUUUGAUACUGGGUAUCUUGAGUGUGGAAGAGGUCGGUGGAAUUGCGAGUGUAGAGGUGAAAUUCGUAGAUAUUCGCAGGAAUACCAGUGGUGAAGGCGGCCGUCUGGUCCAUUACUGACGCUGAGGUGCGAAAGCGUGGGGAGCAAACAG